rnacentral:lncRNA from 1 species
UUUUUUCCUUACGCGUUUCAUUUUCCCAUUCCAACCCUAGAGCGUUGCGGCUCUCCUCCACUGCGUGCUCUACCAUCAUUUUCCACCUCCGCAAUGUGUCGCCUCCUCCUGGUCCACCACAACUUGUGUCGUCUUUCACGAUCUUCUCAAACUAGGCUCUUCCUUCUCCUACGCGGACGUCUCGGGUCUUCCUCCUCUGUGUUCGUGACGACUUCUCUUCUGUUUCACGGUGGUCUGGGCUCCUUCGCUUCUUCCUCCUACCAUCAUUGUGUCUAGUGGUUGUUGUCUCCAAUGGGGUUCUUCCCCAAAUCAUUUGUGUCGUACUCCUCCUCCCAUCUUAUCCUCACAAGUGUGCACCAACCAGUGAAUGAUUUUGCUUCUUCCCACAGUUUGUGCUCUGUUCGUUCAUUUUUUCUUUUCAUUUUCUUAAUUUGAACACAAUAUUCCAGUUACUAGGAUUGAGUUUUGGGAUUGAAAGAUUGAACUUAAACAUGUAUCUUGGUGGAGCUGAAUUCCAUAUUUGAACUUUGUAGAAGGUGAGUUUAAUCUAUUUAUUUGGUAUUUUCAUUUUGUUGUUGACUUUUGAAAUUUAUGGUGGGAGUGGUCAAAGCAUUAUCUCUAAUUGUUUAUUUUAGUAGGAUUUAGAAUGAAUAUCUAUGACUAACUGGUUCAGUUAUCCAUUUAGUUGUUUUUACAUUUGUCACUACCUUUUAAUGUGUUCGCCAGUUGUUAGGGUUGACUCCCUUUUGGUGCCAUUGGGCAUGUUUUUAUAUGGGCCUAGUUAUCUAUUUUGGGCUUUAAAUUAAGUAGGUCCAAAAAGACAUGUUUAAGUGCUCGGGUCCGGUACAUAGCCUCCCACCCUCGAACCGAGAAGGACGAGGCGAAGAGGCUUACCUAUGCCAGUUUUGAAAAGACAUUUGGUUUUGAGGGUGGUUGGUUCAAAAAUUUUGAAGUGUCACCUGAUGGGACGGUUUCGUCCCACUAAUUAUAGUACGUACAUGUGUUAUGCCAUCAACGGUUGAGAAACACUGUCGUUUUAACUUUCCCUUUGAAAAGAUUAAAAACUUGUUUCUUCCUCAUUUUACUUGUUACGCUUGCAUAGAAUUAUCAAAGAAAAGAAAACUUUCUCUUGCCUUCAGAGUGCCACCUUGCUCCACUGCAAACCAUCAAAAAUCAGGUAUGUUUCAUCAUACAUAUCUCCUUUUGGGCAAUGGCUUUGAUUUCGUUUGGACAAUACUCUUCAUUAUGAUUCAAUUGGUUUGUUAUAUAUAUAUAUAUAUAUAUAUUUAUUUUUAUUUUUUUUUCUAAACUAUGCUUCGUACUUUAUUGUUGUGUAUGUUUUAGUUGCUUUUAAAGAUGGAUUAUGCCUCUACUUACCCUUAGGCCAAAAGAGAACUUCUAAACGAAACCUCUAUUUAUACCACUCGUUUAAAGAUUAGAGAGUUAAGGGAGUUGGGGGGUUUAAGUAAAAAAGACGAAAACUUAGUGAAGGUAGUAGUAUGUAGAGAGGACGGACCGGUGUGUUGUGAUGAGACAUCAGACCCUGAUGGGCCUUUUGUUUCUUUUAUACCACCUUUUUCACCAAAGUCAUGUUGUGUCAUCCUCUCUCAGCUUUUUAAAAAGAGUUGUUGACCGAGCUUAACACGGCUACUGCCCAGCUGCAUCCGAACAGCUGGGCAUUAAUCCGAGAUUUUGUUAUUUUGUGCACCCAUCUCGGAAUCUUGUCGACUGUGGAAGUAUUCUUUUAUUUUAUUUUUUAGUUUAAACACUCUGGUGUACAACUUUGGGCUUCUUUAAAUGGUGUUCCUAGAAGAGGUCUACUCACUCUCUUCCAAUCGUCUUACAAAAACUUUAAAGGCCGAUUUAUAAAAGUUCGUGCCUCGGUCAGUGACCCAUCUUUGUUAGAUGGUUUUCCCUUGUAUUAGUCGCCCAACCCUUGCUUCUAGUGUGUUCGACGUCUCGAAAACUUGUCCCAAGGGAGCGGCGUAUUUGCGAAUUCCUGGAGAGCCUCAAAUUUUUUUUUUGACACAUAGAUGCUUUUGACAAGAGAAUACCUAUUGGGUUCUCUCAAAGCUUACAUUGGUAUACACCCUUUCUAGCUUAAGCUUUUCAAAGAUGUUUAGAUUUUUAAGCCUUUUUGUUUGUUUUGUGGAGAACAUGCUUUCCUCGAUCAACAAGACCGAGUUGGCCGAACGUGCGAGGCGGAUGAGGGCGACCAAGGUUAAUUUAGUAACGAAUGAGAGUGCCCCAACUGGCGUCGUUCACGUUCAUUCCAAGCAGAAUGAACGUACUACUUCUGCGUUAGUUUUUAAGAGAAGGAGAUCGGAACUACCAAUUCCUUCAGAACACUCAUACUCGAAUGGCCGAGCUACUACCCAAAAUGCUCUGACAAUCCAAGAAUGUGAAGUUGUUGGAAGCUCGAAAGGAAAGAGAUGUGGGAUCCGAGUUUUGACAUCUCAGCCCAUAAUAGAUUAUGCUUCUUACUAGAAGAUGAUGUAGCAAGGCUAAAGAUUUGUGAUGAAGACCGACUCCGCCACGACGUUGAAAGUUUGCUCGGCCAAGCUAUUGCGCUAGUGUCUUUGUCUAACAUCGGGGUGGAAGAGCAUAAGAGAACUAAAGGCAAGAAAACUCAACAGAUUGCCCAACUUCAAAAGGAGAAUGAGCACCUUCAAGCUGAGACCGUAGAGGUCAAUCGCUUACGCUUGGAGUUGGUUACCAAGACUCAGGAAGGGCAUGUUCUGACCAGAGAGAAAACCGAUUUAGCUAAUAAGGUUAAUAUGUUGGAGAAGAAAAUGGGAGACCGGGAAUAGGAGAUGGCUCGUAAAGAAGCCGAACUCUAGAAGAUGAUUGACACACUAAAAGAUUAUGUGACCCAGUCAUAUGUCGUCGGCCGUCGGCUUUGAGGCCGCCAUGGAAUAAACAACCAUUGUUCACCCCUUGGUGGCUUUUUCUGAGUUGAGCCCAUGCAAAGUGGUGGUUGAUGGGAAACUUAUUGGGGAGUCUUAAUUAUUCUUACCAAUUCCCAAAUCUAUGAACAAUGUUUGACCCUUAUAUGUAUAUUUGACAUUUCAAUUCGGUCAAUGUUUAUUGUUCAACAUUUUUGUAUAUUUUUAAACUUAUAACCUCCUUAGUUAUGCCUUUUCAUGUGUCAAUGAUUUUUCCUGGUGUACUACUAGAGCGCCCAGACAAAAUAAGACAAUAGGGAUGUCUUUUAGCAUUGAGUUUCCAUUCUAUGGUCAACCGAGUUGUUUGGUGUCUUCGAGUUGAUUCGUCUUUCGUUGUUUUUCAAUUUGAUAUGCAGAUAGUGAUGUUGCAUAGUUGGUCCGACCUUAGGGUUCGUUCAAACCAAUAUGUGUAAACAAUUUCGUCAAGUAAGUCUGACCCUCAGGGUUCGGCUAGAACGAUGUGUUGAGAAUAACGUUAUCAAGGUAUUCGAACUCAGGGUUCAACUAAAAUAAUAGUAGAAGACGACAUCACCAAGUUAGUCUGAUUUUAGGGUUCAGCUAAACGAUGUGUAGAGAAUAAUGUUACCCGAUUAGUCUGACCUUAGGGUUCGACUAAAACGAUAUGUAGAAGACAAGAUCACUGAGUUAGUCCGACCUUAAGGUUCGGCUAAACGAGGUAAGAGGCUAACUGUGGAUCUUUUGCUUGCUAUUCACCGGAUACAUGCCCUGUUAUGAGCAUUGAAUCGUUCUUUGCUAGAAAAUAGUGAGCUCCCAAUUCCUUUGCCAACAACAUUCCCGCUAUUAGGGCCUCGUAAUCAGCCUUGUUAUUGUUUGCUUUAAAUGCGAAUUUGAGGGAAUUCUCGAUUAGGAUGCCAUUCGAUCGUUCUAGGAUGAUGCCGACUCUGCUCCCUUGCAAAUUGGAGGACCCAUCGACAGAGAGGAUCCAUAGGAAGUCGUUGGAAUCACCUUUAGGGCCUCGUAUUCAGCCUUGUUAUUGGUUUUCUGGAAUCAAACAUAAAACAGUUUUUUAUUGGUUGAACAAAAUUUUCAAUUGAUUGAUUCUUCAUAACUUUUCACUCUACCUUCAAUACUUGUGAAAAUAUUUCAUAAACAAUUCAUCUCCCCUCUUGUUUAGCUCUCUAAUUCUAACACUUUAGUGUUGCUUAGCUCAAAACUGCAUUAGCGUACAUUCUAAGGUAUUUUGUACACAAGUGGCCCCUCUCUAAGCCAUAUAUCCUCCCAGAACUUUAUCCUAUUUUUAGAUUCUACUCUCCAAGCCACACUUUCCUCAAACUAGCUCUUUUCUUCUCCAGCUCUAGAUAGAUCAUGUAGGUAUCUCCAUCAUCAUGACUUCCCCUUUGUACUCUUUGUAUAAUUCAAUUUCCUCCAUGACCCAUACUUUGACUCUACGAUAUUUUUAAAUAAUCCCUUGCUUUCUAUUCCUAAUCUCCAUUUCCAUUUUUCUACUAAGGCUACAUUAAACAACAUCCUCUAGGUGUUGGUUUUUUUGUGUUUUGAUAGAGACACGUGUCUCUCUUGAUUUCUUGCAUACGGGUUGGAGCAUCCCUUAAAUGCUCCAAUUAAUAUAUUUAUUCUUUUCUGAUAAAAAAAACUUGAUGUCUUUAAUCUCCAAUCCUUCCUUAUCCAUAGAUUUACAUAUGUAUGCCCAUUUAACCCAGUUAUCUUUUGUCCUAACAUCCCCAACCCUAUUAAAUUUUCCUUUGUAUUUUCUUGAUCACUUCACAAAUACAAGAUGGUGUCGUAAAGAGAACAUGUAUUAUAUGGGUAGGGUUAUAAAGAUAGAUUUCACGAGACACACUUGAUGUACAAAGGACAAGACCCUACCUUUCCAUCUUGUUAAUUUGUUCUUGCUUUUAUUCUAGAUGGAUUGCCAGUAUUGUUGUUUCCUUGGAUUCCCCAACACUCAUACCUAAAUAGUUAAACAAUUAGUGGCAUUAACAACAAUUCAAAAAAAUUUAGAACCUCUUCAGUUCAUCCUCCCCAAUGUUAAACCUUCAAUCAUUUUUUUACAAAAGUUAACUAUAAUAUUGAAUGAAAGCUCAAAGCAUCUAAGCAUCUAAGUAUGCUUUUAGCUACAAAUAUAUUUUGAAUUUUUAGUUUGCAUAAAAACAAUGUAUCAUUUGAAAACUAAAACAUAUUAACCUUUAUAUCUAUGUUCCCCACCAUAACUCAUUCUAACAUAUAUUUUUUAAUUUCUUGUCUCACAACUCUAGCUAGAUCUUUUGCCACUAUCAGAAAUAAGAAAAGGGCCAACAAGCCACUUUGUUGGUUUAAAAUCCUAGGUUUGAUUAACAUUAACCAAAAUAGAUAGUGGAUGACUCCAUAUAUCAUCUAUUUCCUUUAGUGCAAAAACCUAGCCUCCAACAUAUAAUAGAAAAACUCACAUUUAACCAAAUCAUAGGUUUUUUCAUCGUCCACUUUAACUAAUAAACAUUUCUUUCUUUUGCAUCUCACCUCCUAUACAAGCUUAUUGAGAACUAAAACACUAUCUAAUAGUCCUCUACCUUUAAUGAAUGUAGAUUUUGUAAUAUAAAUUAUGUUAGAUUUCAAUGUAGUUGUAUAAUACUUUGACUAUUAUCUUAUAUAUAUAGUCCACUAUCUAUAUUUAUUCCUUUAAUCUUAUUCCUGAUUUUUCUUCGAUUAAUGGUUGAAUGGAAAUAUCUAGUAUUAGAAUCACCUUUUUCUAAUCAUUUGACCCUUGAUUUUUGCUUCAUUAACACUUCUUGCCUAUAAUUCACCACUCUAAGUUCAUUCCAUAAAUUAACUACAUUCCUUUAUUUAUUUCUUCUUUGUUGAUUCCUCAAUAAUUUACCUACAAUAUAUUUACUUAAACAUAUAUGAACAACUAAUUUAAUUAUUUUUUUUAUUUCAUUAAUUAACAUAUUUGAAUAGUUAUAAAUUAGUCAUUUUUUUGUCAAUAAAGAAUAAUGAAUUAAAAUUAGAGCAUUUAAGGGAUGUUCCAACCUUAUUACAAAAAUUGUUGGGUUAUAUGUCAUUAUAGCCCAUAUAUCACCCUAUAGGCAUUAGUCCCACAAAAGUGACACGUUACUGCACUAAUAAGAUAUUGUAUAGCUUUAAACCUCCCAACAACUUUCUAAUCUCUCCCUCUAUUUCUAUUAUAGAUUAAAUACAACUAUAUAAAGACAAUAUAAGUGAGGCGGGUAUUAUUUAUCUUAUAACAUAGUUGAACUAGUUCAGAGUUGUGUUGGCACAACUUUUGUCAAAAUACUGGCCCUCACGAAAAAGAUGUUAGAUUACCAAUAAAGAGUGGUGUUGCUUUUAUAGUUUCCACCGUGAUAAAUUUCAGGAGCAUGGAUGAUAGGGAUGUUUGCAUGUUUCUCUACUUAAGCUUCCUCCCUUGAUUUAACAAUUACAUUUGGUCUUGCUCGUCACCAUCUAGUUUUCUUUAACACAAAUUCCUUCAUUGUACUCUUCUUACUGUAUAUAAAUUUAGCUUUCCUUGUUUUCAUUUAGCUAUAUUUAUUUCAGAAUCCUUUUUCCAUAGUACUUGCAUAGAGAGCACUUCCACCACUACAAGAAAAACGUUGAUUAGCUACCAAGGAUUUGCGUUGGCCAAAAGAUGGACGCAAAUAGCGUCGGCCAAACCCACAAUAAGUGGACACAAAAGAAGUAGCGUGGGUCAAGCCCACUCUAAACUGAUGUUAAUAAAAAAAUUGAUAAAAAUAACACGUGUCGGCUUGUGCGACAUAAGAAAUUAAAUCUUUUAAUAUUUGUGUAUAGUUAGCAUCGACUUUAUCAUUGGCUUGGCUGACACAAAAUUGAUCUGAUAUUAGCGUCGGCUUGGCCAACGCAAAAUUGAUAUUAUAUCCCGCACUUGCCAUUUCCCCCUUGUGCAUUUCAUUUUCCCCAAAUUCCCAACCCUGGCACCGCGGUUCUCCUCUGUGUACUUUGUCAUCCACCACUGCCUUCGCAAGUUGCCUCAUCUUGUUCUGUCGGAACCUGCGUUGUCCUACAUGAUUAUCUCGGAUUGAGCUUCUUCUUCAUCUCAGUUCUUCCUCCUUCGUGUUUGCAAUGGCUUAUCUUCUCCUCCACGGUGGUCUUUGCUUCUCCUCCUCUUCCUCUCACCAUUGUGUCUGAUGGUUUUUGGCUCAAGUGAAGCUGAAUUCUAUAUGUGAACUUGGUUGAAGGUGAGUUUAUUGGAUUUAUUUGGUCUUUUUGUUUUCUUGUUGGAUUUUGAAAUUUAUGUUCGAUUGGUAGCUUAUUUGAACAAACAUGAACUUAUUAAAUAACUCUUUGUUCAAAUUUAAUUUGCAAUUACAAUUUUAUGCUUAAUUUGAAUUAAGUUCUCAUUUAAAAUUGAUAUUUGAAUUGAUAUCUUAAUGAUUUAGGAAUCAAGUUGAGAAUUUUUUAGCUUUCUAUUCAUGCUAGAUUUUUUCCCUAUAUGCUUAUUUAUGUGUUGGCGUAGCCGAUGCAAAAGCUCAUGCCAUUGUGUCCCAUUUUAAAGUCAACACAAACACAUUUUUCUUUCAUGAUUUAGCAUCCGUUAGGUAGUCGACGCAUAGCCAACAUUUAUGCGUCAUUUUUCGUCUCUUAGCAUCUGUUAAUGGCUAACGUUAAUUUACAUUUUGUUGUAGUGUACCUUCGUGCAACAUAUGUCAAAAUUCAAAGGUUCAUACAGAGAAUAAGAUAGUUAUCAACCUUUAGCAAUACACUCCCUAAAUGAAUAACGCUAGUACCAACCAAAUCACUCUCAUCUCAAUUUUGAACCAUUUUAGUUAGAAUACUGUAUUUUAAUACACCAGAGGCUACAUAAAAUAAUAUUACAGUGCUUUUAAACAUUGCAUUAUGCUAAGGCACAAAUCUGAAUAUGAAAAAGGUACUGCCUUCAUGUUUAUGUUUAAUUUAUGAUGAAUCAUUUUGUUGUGCGCAUUAUAUUUCCUUUGCAUCCAUUUUCCUUGCCUAAAUAUGACCGAAUUCCAAUGAUUCCAUAUGCCCCAUAAAAUUGCUAUCCAUAGACUCUUUCAAAUUAUGUUUUGUUUUUCAUUUUGGUUCAUUGGGUAAAAGUGUUGAAAAUCAUUCUUAAGCUUAUUAUGUUUCAUUGAGCUAACCCCAUCCACCUAUGACAUUUGUCCCAUAUUAUUUUGCAGGUUGGGAUCAAGUUGGAGGUUGUCUCAUAUUUUUCCUUACAUGAUGCACAUAAACAUAUUAUCCAGCUGCAUCCCUCUUUGCACUAAAUUAACCCUUGCUGGAAUCUUGUCCAAAAUCACUCUCCACCCAAAGCGAAGCGCACUAGGGAGAACCUUCCAGCUCCAUAAGAACUUAAAUAAACAAUUACUUUUACCAAGGAAAUUGCAUAGCAACAUGUCAUAAGUAGACCUCACUGAAUAUAUAUGUACCGACCCGUCCUCGGGCGUUAGACCAAAGUCAAACACUUGGUAGGACCCAUCAGGGGCGCCAUGAGGUGAGAAAGGGAGUCGACCAGGCCUCGAGCGUUGACCAACCUCGGGUGUUGACCGACCUCAGGCGUUGGCUGGGUUCGGACCAAGAAGUGUUUGUUGUUGAACCAAGUGGUGUUCAAGCUUUGAAGAAUCCAAAUCCUUUGAAGGAUGUUGAAGCCUCUGCUGUGCUUGGUGUUGCUGUGCUGGUUUAGCUUAGUUCUGGGGUAGUUUAUAUGUUAUAAUCCACCCUUUGAUUAAAUCUAAAGCAUUAGCAAUCUCAAUCUUUGUGAAAGUAAAAUGUUUUCAAACUAAGUUAAAACAACCGAUUGUUUUGUCAAAACAACCGAUUGUUUGUACUUAGGUGUUUUGAGAAAAAGAUUGAAAAUUGUUUUUAAAAUGGUUGAACUGUUAAGUACCAAAACAACCGAUUGAUUCGAGGAAACAACCGAUUGUUUGUUUUGGGACCAUAACAGAAAAACUGUUUUCUGUUUGACUGAGCUUUAAAUGUUUUAACUGCAUACGCUCUAGUCAUUAAAUGCUUUGACCAAUCUUUUAAAGCAAUUCAAGAGUUUGUUAAGAUUUGAUAACAAACUACAUCUUUGAAUAUAUUCAAAAAAACAUAUUUGACAAUUGAUCUUUGACAAGUUUUUGCUAAGAGUUUUUGAGUUUUUCAAAGAGCUAAGAUUGCUAAGAGUGUGUGAUUGAUCAAAGUUGUGGAAUAGGAUUAUGCUUGUAUUGAUUUCAGAUUAUCUUCUGUAACAAGUGUAAUCCUUGUAUUCUCUGUAAAGACAAGUUUCGUUUCUGUGUUUGCUAAGAUUGGUUGUGUGUCCUUGAGGGGAUCAAGAUCAACAAUCUUGGUGUAGAUGUGUUGACCAAGGAGAGUGUGUUUCUUGAGGUGUUCAAGGUCAUUCUCGUGGUUGUUGUGUAAGUGAUCAAG